GAAAAUAUAUAUACACCUCAUGUGUUUAUAGACAAUUUUUUUUCCUAUAUAUUCACUUGUAAAAAGGGUAAAUAAAUUUUAUAAUUUAAUCACAUGUGUAUUUUUAUUUUAUUUAUAAGUUUUUUAUGAAUAAAAUUAGUAGUAAUAUACAUGCUUCGUGCGAUAAAGACAU
rnacentral:sRNA from 1 species